rnacentral:rRNA from 1 species
GAUGAACGCUGGCGGCGUGCCUAAUACAUGCAAGUCGAGCGAACGGACGAGAAGCUUGCUUUUCUGGUGUUAGCGGCGGACGGGUGAGGAACACGUGGAUAAACUACCUAUAAGACUGGGAUAACUUCGGGAAACCGGAGCUAAUACCGGAUAAUAUUUUGAACCGCAUGGGUCAAAAGUGAAAGAAGGUUUUGCUGGCACUUAAAGAUGGACCCGCGCUGCAUUAGCUAGUUGGUAAGGUAACGGCUUACCAAGGCAACGAUGCAUAGCCGACCUGAGAGGGUGAUCGGCCACACUGGAACUGAGACACGGUCCAGACUCCUACGGGAGGCAGCAGUAGGGAAUCUUCCGCAAUGGGCGAAAGCCUGACGGAGCAACGCCGCGUGAGUGAUGAAGGUCUUCGGAUCGUAAAACUCUGUUAUUAGGGAAGAACAUAUGUGUAAGUAACUGUGCACAUCUUGACGGUACCUAAGCAGAAAGCCACGGCUAACUACGU